UUGGACUCAAGUUUGGGCGCUUUUUUGCUAUUGGUCUCAUUAUUCAGUGACUGAGGUCGAGACAAACUACAACCAGCAGAGGUCGAUACCUGAGCUCCAAGGAGCCACCACUACCCUAGAUGUGACCCGGAGAUUCCUCUUAUCUCUGAAAGACUACACGUCCCAUUUCCCCAUCAGAAACUUACAAGCCUACAGUACACGCCCCCUUUUGGUCCAGCCCUGUCACUACGCCGGUGAUCCCCAGUGGGUGAGCGACACGGAGACGUCAACUCUGUGGGACGAUGACAUUGCACACACUGAUUGGAGGGGUUCCCACAAGACCCUGAAAGGGGCUGCACCGGCACCCGACAUGCUGACAGCCCCCUAUCAGAGAAGCGAAAGUUUCUCAGAUGUUAUUUGAGUCCAAUCUGGAUGUGCAGUGUCAUGUAAACAUGACUUUUCAAAGCAUGUCAGCAAGUGUAUGGCACAAAAGGAUUUUUUUUUGGAGGGAAACAAUAUAAAGGACAGUGUUAACUUUUUGUUUGUGAAGACUCUAAAACAAUUGGUGUUUUAAUACCAAAUGUCAAUCCAUCCUUACACUUUUCUUUUAUUCAGACAUUUUUUAAUGUGAUGAGUAUAUACUGUUUGUAUGGUUGAUGUCAACAGCAUUUUUGUUUCAAUGUAUGCUUGUGAUGAUUUAUCAUAUAUCGUCUCUACUUUUGACAACAUACUUUAAAAUAAACAAGUAAUUUUGGGAAAUAUUUGCGUAAAAUCACUGCAGAAUGUUGAGAUGUUGGCAGUGUAGUCUAACUUUGGUUCACCUGAUUUUCAGCAUUCGUCCAGUUUUUUGUAGAGUGCUGCUACUUUUUGGAGGGGAACCAGCUACUUUCCUGUGCUACAUCUGUAAGUCUGUAAAAGCCAUAUUAAAACACAGCCUUUAAUAACCUGUAGCAUCACUGGGAUCCUUAAUGUUUUGACAAUUUGUCAGCAAAUGGUUGCAAUGCAAGUAACUGAUGUUGUAAUUCUGAUGUCCCUCAUGGAUUUAAAUUACGAUGAAUAAGUUACUCUAAACUUAUAUUACAUUUGUCGGUCUUCAUAAGCAUUUGUGAUGAUCUGAUUUCAUGUAUUUGUUUUCUGUCUGUGAUUAGGAGUGUUGCUUUUCCUUCGUAUGUCCUAAUAUAUUUGUCGAGUUUUCCUUGAUGUGGUUGAUGGUUGAGUUACAAGACAUGAUGUAAAGCAAGCAAUCAAAGUGCAAUGGCUUUUCUGCCAAAAGCUCCUCUCUCUCUCUCUCUCUCUCUCUCUCUCUCUCUCUCUCUCUCUCUCUCUCUCGUUGACUCAAAAAUUGACAAAUGGAAACACAACAAGGGGUGACUCCUUUUGCAUAGUAAUUGUUUCAUUCAUAAACUUUCAUAAUAAUGACAAUCAGAAUAAUCCUUAUUUCACUUUAAUGUAUAAUCAAACAUUGUCUCAAUUUCUGUCAAUUCAUUUAAAAAAAAAUAUUUUAGUAGUUCACAGGAUACUGUAAAACUUAGGGGUCUAAAAA